rnacentral:rRNA from 1 species
AGAGUUUGAUCCUGGCUCAGAUUGAACGCUGGCGGUAUGCCUAACACAUGCAAGUCGAACGGUAACAGAGAGAAGCUUGCUUCUUUGCUGACGAGUGGCGGACGGGUGAGUAACGCGUGGGAAUCUACCCAGUAGUUGGGGAUAGCCCGGAGAAAUCCGGAUUAAUACCGAAUGAUGUCUACGGACGAAAAGGUGCCUCUGCUUGCAAGCACUUGCUAUUGGAUGAGCCCGCGUUAGAUUAGUUUGUUGGUGGGGUAACGGCCUACCAAGACUGCGAUCUAUAGCUGGUUUGAGAGGAUGAUCAGCCACAUUGGGACUGAGACACGGCCCAGACUCCUACGGGAGGCAGCAGUGGGGAAUAUUGGACAAUGGGCGCAAGCCUGAUCCAGCAAUACCACGUGUGUGAAGAAGGCCUUCGGGUUGUAAAGCACUUUUAUGUGGGAAGAAGGAUUGAGAGUUAAUAGCUUUUGAUUUUGACGGUACCACAAGAAUAAGCACCGGCUAACUCCGUGCCAGCAGCCGCGGUAAUACGGAGGGUGCGAGCGUUAAUCGGAAUUACUGGGCGUAAAGGGUACGUAGGCGGCUUGAUAAGUCAGAUGUGAAAUCCCCGGGCUUAACCUGGGAACUGCAUUUGAAACUGUCUGGCUAGAGUGAGUGAGAGGUUAGUGGAAUUCAAGGCGUAGCGGUGAAAUGCGUAGAGGUCUUGAGGAACAUCAGUGGCGAAGGCGACUAACUGGCACUACACUGACGCUGAGGUAC